rnacentral:tRNA from 1 species
UAGGCAGAAGCCGGUUGGUUUAGGCAUCUAACUGUUAAUUAGGAUGUUAUGGGAUCGAAGCCCAUCUGUCUAG